CAGUCGCCGCGGGAAUACGUAGGUGGCAAGCGUUGUCCGGAAUUAUUGGGCGUAAAGGGCUCGCAGGCGGUUUCUUAAGUCUGAUGUGAAAGCCCCCGGCUCAACCGGGGAGGGUCAUUGGAAACUGGGAAACUUGAGUGCAGAAGAGGAGAGUGGAAUUCCACGUGUAGCGGUGAAAUGCGAAGAGAUGUGGAGGAACACCAGUGGCGAAGGCGACUCUCUGGUCUGUAACUGACGCUGAGGAGCGAAAGCGUGGGGAGCGAGCAGGAUUAGAUACCCCCGUAGUCCCUGUCUCUUAUAC
rnacentral:rRNA from 1 species